GGUUGACGUUUUCUUAGCCCUGCACCAUCACACUGAUAUUUCGAACAAACCUCAAACAGGAGUCUACCAUCAUGUUUUUCCAGGAUUUGUCAUUUGUCAGUAAGAUUUGAGGAUGUGAGGAAACGUCUGUGAGGCACUGGUGCCAAAUACAUGAUGCUCUACCCAGCUAUGCUGAAAAUAAUCCCCUGUGGGGAGACCAGAAGCUUCGACUUCCCCGUUUAAGCAUCGGCUUUUGUUGACACUCUCAGGUGAACUACAUGUGAGUCACCAGCUGAUGUUUUUAGGUUUAUGGGUAGGUUAUCUAUCUGGAUAUAUGAACAAAAAAAAACUUGUUUUGAACUGAGUUUAUUUGUGGGCAAGUCAUAUAUCUACCUCAUGCGAUUAAUGAGAAUAGUUCACAAAGCUAAAACUGAGCAAUUUUAAAUGACAGUCUUUGCCCUACCGUCCCAUGUUUAUGUGUCAUGAGUGACUGAUAACAUGAUGUGCAAACCAAUAUUACAGAGAGUAUUCUAAUUUGUUUUUGUGCAGGAUUGUGAGCUUUUUCCUUUUUUUCUUUUUCUUUUCUCCUUAUCUUUCUUCUCCUAUUUUUUGAUCCGCUCAUCCUUGUCUAAGAGUGGAUAUUAUCACUCAGGUGGUGUUAUUUGAGUUUGGAGCUGUAAGAGAAGUUAACUUAGUUAGAGUACGGUAUUGGAGAAGGUCAUGGUAAUCCCCUGGCUCCCGUUGGGGAACGUUACUCCUAUAGUGCUGUUGGCAUGUCUGUUAUUUGUAAACUGUGUUGUUUGGUGCAGAAUCUACAUGGAGAUUAUAAUACAUUUGGGAGCUUAAAUCUUGUCAGUAAAAAAUGUUACGACCUGUGACACUGAGAGGCUGUGCACUACGAAUAUUACGGGAAGCCACUCUCCCAUCUAAAUGAAAAAAAUAUUGUCAUCUUUAAAAAAAAGAAAGAUUGACAUUGCUAUAUUGCCAGAAACACACCUGAAUGAUGAGGAACAUUUAAAGCUGCAAUAGUGCCGCUUUGAUCAAGUCUAUUUCUCAUCUUUCACCACCAAAAGCAGAGGGGUGGCAAUACUUAUUAGGAAAAAUUUACCUGUUAAUCUGUCCAAAUGUUUUAAAGAUAAAUAUGUAUGGUCAUAGAUGAGUGACUGAGCGCCCUGAGAGUGGCAGCAAGUCACAGCAGCUCGUCACAGAGUUAAUGUUUUUGCCUUCUUAUUGUUGUUUUUUGCACCUUAUUUGUCUUUCUUUUAUUUUGCAGUGUUGUGUUUUGCAUAUUCCAAUCAUGGAUGUGCAUUUCAUGACUCUAGCACUUUGUUUUCUUUUACCUUUUGGAGUUUUCAAGUCCACGUCCGGCGACCCGUUCAGCGACUCUACUGUUAACAGCCGUUAACAGCUGUUGGCGCUGCGCCGAGCCCAGCCACCUUCGUGGGAGAGUCCGGACAUCCCCCCCAAGCUCCGCAGGAGAAGGAGAGGAUGCAGAGCCGGAGUUCAGCAUCGGGCGAAGCGGAGACAUUAUAAGCCAACUGUCCCAUCCAUCAUUAUGGGAAACAUGAGGUCUCUCCCCAACAAGAUGGAAGAGCUCACAGCGCUGACUCGGCUGCAGUGGGAGUACCGGGAGUGCAGCCUCAUGUUUUUCACAGAGUCAUGGCUAAACGAACUCACUCCGGACCCGCUCGUAACUUUGGACGGAUUUCAUCUCGUCAGAGCGGACCGGAGCGUGAAAGAGAGUGGUAAGAAGAAAGGAGGCGGGAUAGCAGUGUAUGUGAACGAGAGAUCGUGUAAUGCUGGGCACGUCAGUGACCUUCAGGUCAGUGUUAAAGAGCAUCGCUGCUCUAAGGAGCUGCUGGCUGUGAGUUUGCGGCCGUAUUACCUGCCGAGGGAGUUUUCACACGUCAUCGCAUUAACUGUUUAUAUCCCCCCUUGGCUGAUGCUGCUGCAGCCUGUGAACUCCUCCACAGUGAAGUGUCCAAGCAACAAAAAUCCCACCCUCAGUCUCUGAUCAUCAUCUCUGGAGACUUUAAUCAUGCAUUGCUCUCCUCCACUCUCCCUACCUUCAGCCAGUACGUGGAAUGCCCAACGAGACAAUAAAACUUUGGACUUACUGUAUGCAAACACCAAGGAUGCAUGCACCUCCUCCCCCUGCCCCCGCUGGGACACUCAGAUCACAACCUGGUGAGACUGCAGCC